GCGCCUGUAGCUCAGUUGGAUUAGAGUAUAUCGCUACGAACGAUAGGGUCGGAGGUUCGAGUCCUUCCAGGCGCG
rnacentral:tRNA from 1 species